UUCAUCGAGAUUGUCGGGAAACGUUUUACGUGUGAAGUAGAACAAUAACGCUCAUGUAUCCUAUAGCCUAUUGGCCGACACCCCACAGCAUUUUGAGACGGUGUAACAGUAGCGUGUCGAUUACUCGUGUGAUGGCAGAUAUAUGGACGUAGGCUACAAAACUCUUCCUAAAUGCACAAUGAAAAGAGUAAUUAGCUCGUUUGAAUCAUAUACAUAAACUAAACAAUAAGUUAAGCUAUUUGGCACCGCACCCUGACCAUAUCAAGAGAGGAACCCAAGUAAAUUGUGUUUGCCAGUGUCUGUUAUCUGCUACAGUUUUAUUUGUUAAAUGGGGCGUUUGUCGUUCAAACUGAAAUACAGCCUAGCCCAAAACAAGCUUACUUGGAAAUUUAAGUAGGCUACUUAAGGUUGUAAAGUCGGACCGGUAUUUUAUGACUUUAUGUAUAAUUGACUGCAAUUUGUGCGUGUUGAUGCUAUUCUUGAAACCAUUGCUGAGUUUGAUUUUGGGGUGAAUUAAGCGGUGUAUAAAGUCAAUGGCUGAGCCCUACAGGUACACAAUUGAGAAGUGGUCGCGCACGUGUACAGCAUUCGCGAUGAGAUGUUAGCAUACUGCUGAAAAAACAAAACUAGGCUACAUCGUGUAAAAGGUACGCGCAAAAGGGACGCCCCCUGCUGGAGAGAUCUCUCAUGUCAGCCGAGGGACAUGAUUCAGACUGGAGCAGAUCCUGCAGGCCCCACAAAAUGAGAUGCUGGCUGGGGGCACUACCUGUGAAGCGGGACAGUUUAAAUCAAGCAUCUGGGCCCAUGAGGAGUUCAUCUAUUGCUCAGCAGCCUGACCGAGUAUAAGAGUCAGGAGUUGACAGUUGUGAGAGUCGAGGAGUCUGCAGACUUUGACUCCAUCCUCUGGAGAUAUGUUAUAUUUAUAGGAGCUGUCCAUAUGUGUCAAAUAAAAGUCAGAACUUA